AGAAUAAUUACAUUCAUGCUGCUAAUACCCAUUUCCUUGUUGAACUUGGUGUCUGAAAACUGGUUAUUUUAUAUCUGUAAAUAGUUUCCUUGCCUAAUUACUUGCUUAGACUGCUCUGCUCCCAAUUACACACCUGUGCAGCCAUUGUAUGGGAACUGCUGACACCUGUGGGGUUGUAAUGUCGGGCCAGGACGUGUCUUAGAAAAGUUGGGAGGGACAUUUCUCUGUUUAAGAGAGGCAUAAACAUUCCCUGGCUAACUGCUGUUGGGCCUCAGGUGAUGUUCUCCUUCCUUUCCCAGGGCUUGAGGAAAUGCAGCGUCCAGCGCCCCGGAUGACCACAGUGCAACAGGCUCAACAGUGACCCGGGUCACGGUGUGAGGGCUGGCUGUCGCAGGCUGAACUCCGGCUGUGACUGCUGCUGCAGGUUUCGGAGGGCAGGACACCCCGCAGAGCUGAGGGAACGACCAGCUCCUGGGCACAGCAGCACCUGGUGACUACUGAGGACCAAGGUCCAUGGUCAGAGGGAUCCUAGAAGCAAGAGGAAAACGUCACCACAGAACAAGAAUGAUCAUCGAUGUUUCGAAGUGUGGAAGGUCGUCGCUGCAAUUUGCUGGACAGGCUGCGAGAGGGAAACGUGUCACUGCUAAGUAGCAGAGGUAACUGGAUGCCUGGAGAAGUGUCCGCAGCCACGUGUGAUCCAAACGUGCCGGAUUUCUGUGAGUCUGAGCGUGUGAGGGCUGCAGAGAGCGGCCUGUGCUGUGCAGGUGGCACCCGCCUGGUCGCAGGGGACACUGGUGGUGGCACCGCAGGCCUGGGAGGUGUAAGGGGCUGGGGCUUUUCUGUCUCCUGAUGCACAGGUCAGCUCUGCUUCAGCUGUGCCAGGAGUCUCUGGUGGGGAAACAGACUCUAGAAAUAUUUGAAGAGAGUCUUUCGAGGCACUAGCACAAGUACUUAUGUUAAGAGCAAGAGUUCAGGAAAGAAAAGAGGGCCUAGGCAAAAAAAAAAUGUUUUCUGGAUUACAUCGCUUGUAGCCUGCCAGAGCUCCUCCCUAUUUAUGUUUUUAACAAGAAAUCUAGGUUGCAUGCAGCUUUUUCUUUUUUUUUUUUUUAUGUUGCUUUUCCUCUAGUAGCAAGAAAACCUGUGAGUAGUGUCGUCUUCUGGUAAUUUGUAUUUUUUAUUUUUGGAAUUAAUUAGAAAACACAUAACCCAGCAGCAUAAAGCUGCCGAGAAUGUCAUCACUCAGGUAUCACAGCCUUUAUUAAAAGUCAGAGAGGCCCUGCUCACGAGCACCUGAUGUUUAUGGCUGCUGCUUCUGAAGUGCAUUGUGUUUCAGCGUCUGCCUUGGCUCGUGUCCAUUCUUGCUUUAACCUCAAUGACUUUGGCAUAGUUAUUUCAGUGCUGAACUUCACCUAUUUUGUCUCCGAGGCCUCAGCAGAAUAUGAAGUCUGCUGCUUGCUUAUCAAAUAUGAAGCCACGUACAACUGGGCAGCCUAAUGCUAAUGGAAUCAAUGCAGCAAAAGAGAUCUCACAACCCCUCUGUACUUUUUACAAUUUACUUUGCUCGUCACCCAUUAAUUCUUAUAUUGAUUUUUCUAUAAAACACAAACUGCAUUCCUACUGCAGCCCAAGAAAAAAGCCCAUUGAUUAUAUUGGAACAAGGUAUCUUGUAAAAAUGAAAUGCCUAAAACGUUUAAAUGUAGUAAGCUCUGUUAAAGUACAUAAAUCAUGUUGGUUAAUGUUGUAAAUGAGUAGCGCUGCCUUAAACAAGGAAAAAUAUGGCACCAUAAAACAAUUUUGACACAAAAUAGCAGCCUCUGAUUCUAUGUACCUGCCAGUUUAGAAAUGCUAUCAAUAAUGGUUAUGGUUGUUUGCA